rnacentral:rRNA from 1 species
UACAGAGGGUGCGAGCGUUAAUCGGAAUUACUGGGCGUAAAGCGCGCGUAGGCGGCUUUGCAAGUCGGGUGUGAAAUCCCCAGGCUUAACCUGGGAACUGCAUUCGAGACUGCAUUGCUAGAGUAUGGGAGAGGGAAGUGGAAUUUCCGGUGUAGCGGUGAAAUGCGUAGAUAUCGGAAGGAACAUCAGUGGCGAAAGCGACUUCCUGGACCAAUACUGACGCUCAUGUGGCGAAAGCGUGGGGGAGCAAACAGG